rnacentral:rRNA from 1 species
GAUGAACGCUGGCGGCGUGCCUAAUACAUGCAAGUCGAGCGAACGGACGAGGAGCUUGCUCCUCUGACGUUAGCGGCGGACGGGUGAGUAACACGUGGAUAACCUACCUAUAAGACUGGGAUAACUUCGGGAAACCGGAGCUAAUACCGGAUAAUAUAUUGAACCGCAUGGUUCAAUAGUGAAAGACGGUUUUGCUGUCACUUAUAGAUGGAUCCGCGCCGCAUUAGCUAGUUGGUAAGGUAACGGCUUACCAAGGCGACGAUGCGUAGCCGACCUGAGAGGGUGAUCGGCCACACUGGAACUGAGACACGGUCCAGACUCCUACGGGAGGCAGCAGUAGGGAAUCUUCCGCAAUGGGCGAAAGCCUGACGGAGCAACGCCGCGUGAGUGAUGAAGGUCUUCGGAUCGUAAAACUCUGUUAUUAGGGAAGAACAAAUGUGUAAGUAACUAUGCACGUCUUGACGGUACCUAAUCAGAAAGCCACGGCUAACUACGUG